AUGAGGUCGAGCGCGCAGGUCUCCGACGCGAACACGACGGCGCCGUUGGGGCGGCGGCCCAUGACCAGCGGGCGGAAGCCGAAGGGGUCGCGCACGGCGAAGAGCUUGUCGGCCGUGAGGAACAGCAGCGAGUAGGCGCCCUGGAGGCGCUCGCAUGCGUCGCAGAUGCGGGCGAGCAGCGGGCGCGAGAGCGACGUGGCGAUGAGGUGGAGGAUGACCUCCGUGUCCGACGAGUUGUUGAAGAUGGAGCCCUGCGCCUCCAGCUUGUGGCGCAGCGGCAGGUAG
rnacentral:rRNA from 1 species